rnacentral:lncRNA from 1 species
AGGAGAGCAGGCCGAGCAAGCCAGUAAGAAACAUCCCUCCAUGGCUUCUGCAUUACCUUCAUGACCUGAUUGAGUUCCUGACAUCCUUUGGUGAUGAACAGCAAUGUGGAAGAGGCUUUGAUCUUUUCACCCUUGCUUACUGAAUUAAGAAUGGAGAAUUCAUGGACUUUGAGUGACAUUUAAAACUAAAAACAAAACAAAACAACAACAACAACAACAAUACCCCCUCCCCCCGCAAACUUCUUCCUCAAUUUACUUACAAAUCAAUCAGCUUGAAAAGAUUUACUUCUUCCAUGAAAUAGUCCAAUCAAAAUUUAUGAAACGCCAGAAAGGAAAAAAACAUAAGCUCAAAAAUAUAACCACCAGAGUGCUCUACACCCACGUGAAUCAGCCCACCUCAUUGUACUUGUAGAUUUUUGAGUGAAAAAUUAGCCUAUGGGGCCCACCCUGCCGAGUGGUAAUCCCUGGAUUCAGCCGUAAACACCACAUCGCAGAUUUCCUGCUUCUAAAGUGAUGGAAGAAUGAUUCUGUUAGUCAACCCAUAGGAGCUCCUCACUUGGAAUGUGCUCCCCUGAAUUUAGCCAAUGCACUGAUAACCAAUUCCUUGCUUUUGUAAGACCUUCUGUAUUUGUUUUUAAAAAAAUAAAGUUUCAAUUC